CUCUCUUAUACUCAGUCCAUCUUUUAAAACUCCCACUUUUCCUUAAUCCCUCCAACUCUUUCUCCCUUUUAGAGAGAUGGAGCCACAAAAUAACACUCUCAGCCAAGAAUAUAACCACUGAAAACUCAGAAGAAUGCAUGAAGAUAAAAAAGAAGAGAAACAAAAGCAAAGAAAGGCCAGAUCAAAUGAAAAAACAGCCACAGGGUAAGUGCUGAUAAUCUGUUGAUUUGUGUUUAUGUUGGAGGGAGGGAGGGAGGGAGGGAAGGAGUU
rnacentral:lncRNA from 1 species